CUAACAAGGAUUCCCUCAGUAACGGCGAGUGAAGCGGGAAGAGCUCAAAUUUGAAAUCUCCGAUGCCUGCAUCGGCGAGUUGUAGUUGCGAGAAGCACUUUCUAGGCGGAUCGGCGGUGCCUAAGUUGCUUGGAACAGCACGUCGCAGAGGGUGACAACCCCGUCUGUGGCGCCGGCGGCCGCCGACGAUGUGCUUUCGAAGAGUCGGGUUGUUUGGGAAUGCAGCCCAAAAGGGGUGGUAAACUCCAUCUAAAGCUAAAUACUGGCGUGAGACCGAUAGCGAAGGAAACGAAUGGACUCAGCAAUGCGCCCUUUGAGAUUCAGCCGGCGGGCGGUCUUGGCCCCGGGUUUGCGGAUCUGAAUGGACCGCGGCCCUCGGCUCUCGAUCUCCCCCGCCGUCGCACUUCUCUGGGGCGCGCGUCAACGUCGGUUGGGACUGGGUCUGAAAGGUGCCGGGAAGGUAGGAGCGGGCCUUCGGGUCGGCUCUGUUACAGCCCGGCUCUCCUUCAUGGCUCGGGCCCGACCGAGGCGGUUGCAGGGCAUGCCUCUUGUGGCUAGGGUGCCGCCCUUCCGGCCGGCUGUUCCAGUGCGGUGGACUGCUUGCAGUGCUCGGCGACGGCUGCCGGUCGUUGGGGUGGUGAUCU
rnacentral:rRNA from 1 species